rnacentral:lncRNA from 1 species
GCUCUAAGAUAUUCUACGUCAAAAUGUCAUGAAUAUAAAGAGUAUGCUGAUAAGACAUUUUCUUUUAUUAUUACGUGCUCUAAAAAUACUUUACAAAAAAAUAGGACGUAUGUACAUAUACAGAGGGCGGAACAAGAAGAAUCAACAAAAAUGUCCAUCACAUUUCCAACAAAAAUGUCCAUCACAUUUCCAACAAAAGAUUACUGAUCUUCCGAAGCUCCUUGAGCC